rnacentral:rRNA from 1 species
GGCCCAGCUUGCUGGGUUGGAUGAGUGGCGAACGGGUGAGUAACACGUGAGUAACCUGCCCCCUUCUUUGGGAUAACGGUCGGAAACGGCUGCUAAUACCGGGUAUUCACUGUCCUUCGCAUGGGGGGUGGUGGAAAGGUUUUUUCUGGUGGGGGAUGGGCUCGCGGCCUAUCAGCUUGUUGGUGGGGUGAUGGCUUACCAAGGCUUUGACGGGUAACCGGCCUGAGAGGGUGACCGGUCACAUUGGGACUGAGAUACGGCCCAGACUCCUACGGGAGGCAGCAGUGGGGAAUAUUGCACAAUGGGCGAAAGCCUGAUGCAGCGACGCCGCGUGAGGGAUGACGGCCUUCGGGUUGUAAACCUCUUUCGCUCAUGGUCAAGCCGCAACAGUGGUUGUGGUGAGGGUAGUGGGUAAAGAAGCACCGGCUAACUACGUGCCAGCAGCCGCGGUAAUACGUAGGGUGCGAGCGUUGUCCGGAAUUAUUGGGCGUAAAGGGCUUGUAGGCGGUUUGUCGCGUCUGCCGUGAAAUCCUCUGGCUUAACUGGGGGCGUGCGGUGGGUACGGGCAGGCUUGAGUGCGGUAGGGGAGACUGGAACUCCUGGUGUAGCGGUGGAAUGCGCAGAUAUCAGGAA